rnacentral:SRP_RNA from 2 species
GCUGGGUGUGGUGGCGGGCACCUGUAAUCCCAGCUACUAAGGAGGCUGAGGUGGGAGAAUCGCUUGAACCCAGGAGGCAGAGGUUGCAGUGAGCUGAGAUUGCGCCACUGCAUUCCAGCCUGGGUGACACAGCGAGACUCCGUCUCAA